rnacentral:rRNA from 1 species
GAUGAACGCUGGCGGCGUGCCUAAUACAUGCAAGUCGAGCGAACAGACGAGGAGCUUGCUCCUUUGACGUUAGCGGCGGACGGGUGAGUAACACGUGGGUAACCUACCUAUAAGACUGGGAUAACUUCGGGAAACCGGAGCUAAUACCGGAUAAUAUUUCGAACCGCAUGGUUCGAUAGCGAAAGAUGGCUUUGCUAUCACUUAUAGAUGGACCUGCGCCGUAUUAGCUAGUUGGUAAGGUAACGGCUUACCAAGGCAACGAUACGUAGCCGACCUGAGAGGGUGAUCGGCCACACUGGAACUGAGACACGGUCCAGACUCCUACGGGAGGCAGCAGUAGGGAAUCUUCCGCAAUGGGCGAAAGCCUGACGGAGCAACGCCGCGUGAGUGAUGAAGGUCUUCGGAUCGUAAAACUCUGUUAUUAGGGAAGAACAAACGUGUAAGUAACUGUGCACGUCUUGACGGUACCUAAUCAGAAAGCCACGGCUAACUACGUG